rnacentral:rRNA from 1 species
GGGCCCGCACAAGCGGUGGAGCAUGUGGUUUAAUUCGAUGAUACGCGAGGAACCUUACCAGGGCUUAAAUGUAAGUUGCAUGGAUCAGAGAUGAUCCUUUCUUCGGACCACUUACAAGGUGCUGCAUGGUUGUCGUCAGCUCGUGCCGUGAGGUGUCAGGUUAAGUCCUAUAACGAGCGCAACCCCUAUCGUUAGUUGCCAGCAAGUAAAGUUGGGUACUCUAGCGAGACUGCCGGUGCAAACCGAGAGGAAGGUGGGGAUGACGUCAAAUCAUCACGGCCCUUACGUCCUGGGCUACACACGUGCUACAAUGGCCGGUACAGAGAGCAGCCACCACGCGAGUGGGAGCGAAUCUUCAAAACCGGUCUCAGUUCGGAUCGCAGUCUGCAACUCGACUGCGUGAAGCUGGAAUCGCUAGUAA